rnacentral:rRNA from 1 species
CCAGAGCUUGCUCUGGUGAAAGUGGCGCACGGGUGAGUAACGCGUGGAUAACCUGCCCUGGUAUYUGGGAUAACAUCUCGAAAGGGGUGCUAAUACCGGAUAAGCCUACGGGGUCUUCGGACUCUGCAGGAAAAGGUGGCCUCUAUUUAUAAGCUACCGUAUCAGGAUGGGUCCGCGUACCAUUAGCUAGUUGGUGGGGUAAUGGCCCACCAAGGCGACGAUGGUUAGCUGGUCUGAGAGGAUGAUCAGCCACACUGGAACUGAGACACGGUCCAGACUCCUACGGGAGGCAGCAGUGGGGAAUUUUGCGCAAUGGGGGAAACCCUGACGCAGCAACGCCGCGUGAGUGAUGAAGGCUUUCGGGUCGUAAAGCUCUGUCAGAGGGGAAGAAAUGAGCCUGGCUAAUAUCCAGGUUUCUUGACGGUACCCUCAAAGGAAGCACCGGCUAACUCCGUGCCAGCAGCCGCGGUAAU